rnacentral:rRNA from 1 species
GAUAAACGCUAGCGGCAGGCUUAACACAUGCAAGUCGAGGGGCAGCAUAGAUUGUAGCAAUACAAUUGGUGGCGACCGGCGCACGGGUGCGUAACGCGUAUGCAACCUACCCGUCACAGGGGGAUAAUCCGGAGAAAUCUGGUCUAAUACCCCAUAACAUAUGGAUCGGCAUCGGUUCAUGUUGAAAUUUUCGGAGGUGACGGAUGGGCAUGCGUAGCAUUAGCUUGUUGGUGAGGUAACGGCUGACCAAGGCGACGAUGCUUAGGGGGACUGAGAGGUUUUCCCCCCACACUGGAACUGAGACACGGACCCGACGACUACGGGAGGCAGCAGGGAGGAAUAUUGGUCAAUGGGCGCAAGUCUGAACCAGCCAUGCCGCGUGCAGGAUGACGGCUCUAUGAGUUGUAAACUGCUUUUGUACGAGGGUAAAGUGGGUUACGUGUAACCUUUUGAAAGUAUCGUACGAAUAAGGAUCGGCUAACUCCGUGCCAGCAGCCGCCGUAA